GAUGAACGCUGGCGGCGUGCUUAACACAUGCAAGUCGAACGGAAAGGCCCAAGCUUGCUGGGGUACUCGAGUGGCGAACGGGUGAGUAACACGUGGGUGACCUGCCCUGCACUUCGGGAUAAGCCUGGGAAACUGGGUCUAAUACCGGAUAGGACGAGGGUUUGGAUGGCAUUGGGGAGAGUUUUUUCGGUGUGGGGGGAGGUCGCGGCCUAUCAGCUUUUGGGGGGGGGAGUGGCGUAUCAAGGCGUCGACGGGGAUCCGGCGCGUGAGGGUGUGCGGCCCCAUUGGGGCUGUGAUACAGGCCACAGUCCUCUAGGGGGCAGAAGUGGGGAAUAUUUUACACUGUGCGCAGGCCUGAGGCAGCGACGCCGCGUGGGGGGUGAGGCCGUUCGCGUUGUAAAAACCUUUCGCUAGGGACGCAGCGCUUUUGUGACGGUACCUGGAGAAGAAGCACCGGCUAACUACGUG
rnacentral:rRNA from 1 species